CGUUUCUUAUUUCCCGGUUUGCAUGCGAGUAAAAAGCAAUCGACUCGGAAUGAAAGUUUCACACACGGUCCAUGUGUCUGCCUCUUAACGACCAGCCACUCCGCUCCGUAGGCACGUACGCUCGAGACCUAUUACGCUCGAGCGUCAAGCCCCUCGAAGGUCACGUAUCCGCGGAGUUUAAUGAUUUACAAGCAACGGACGACGGGAUUACGUAAAAAG